rnacentral:rRNA from 1 species
UACAGAGGGUGCGAGCGUUAAUCGGAAUGACUGGGCGUAAAGGGUGUGUAGGUGGUUUAAUAAGUUAGGUGUGAAAGUCCUGGGCUUAACCUGGGGAGGUCGCUUAAGACUGUUAAGCUAGAGUACUGUAGAGGAAGGUGGAAUUUCCGGUGUAGCAGUGAAAUGCGUAGAUAUCGGAAGGAACAUCGGUGGCGAAGGCGACUUUCUGGACAGAUACUGACACUGAGACACGAAAGCGUGGGGAGCAAACAGG